UGGGAUAUGGUGUAAUUGGCAGCACUACAGAUUCUGAUUCUGUCAGUCAAGGUUCGAGUCCUUGUAUCCCAGCGA
rnacentral:tRNA from 1 species